GACGAACGCUGGCGGCGUGCCUAACACAUGCAAGUCGAACGGAAAGGCCCUGCUUUUGUGGGGUGCUCGAGUGGCGAACGGGUGAGUAACACGUGAGUAACCUGUCCUUGACUUUGGGAUAACUUCAGGCAACUGGGGCUAAUACCGGAUAGGAGCUCCCGCCGCAUGGUGGGGGUUGGAUAGAUUCGGCGGUUGGGGAUGGACUGGCGGCUUAUCAGCUUGUUGGUUGGGUAGUGGCUUACCAAGGCUUUGACGGGUAGCCGGCCUGAGAGGGUGACCUGCCACGUUGCGACUGAGAUACGGCCCAGACUCGUACGGGAGGCAGGGGUGGAGAAGAGUGCACUAUGGGCUGAAGCCUGGUGUAGCAACGCCGCGUGGGGGAAGAGAUCCUGGGGGUUGUGAACCGCUUUCGCCUGUGACGAGGCGUGAGUGACGGUAAUGGGAGAAGAAGCACCGGCUAACUACGUG
rnacentral:rRNA from 1 species